UUUGUUUGUUUGUAUGUUUAUUUGUUUGUUUGUUAGUAUGUGUCUGUCACGUUCGUAGCGCUGUUCAAGCUUUAUUUGCUUUGCAAAAAUUCAGACUUUAUGGUAUUAAGCUGUUCGAGUAGAAGUGACUUUCCCUGCUCGCUUAAGAUAAAUUGUGUAUCCCUGCCCUGUGCUUUCUUCACGCAGGGACAAUGCAAAUGAGUAUUUAGCAUUAUGCAAUAAUUAUCUGAUAGCAGAAAUGGGUGUCUUUGUCACAGUUUAUUAGCGUGUGUGUCGAUAUUUUAUUUUAUUUUAUUUUUUUCUCUUAUUGCUAUGCGAGCAAAAGUGUGUGUAAUUUUUCGCUGCUCUUUUCUUAUUUUCUCUACUUUUAUGUAGAAGAAAGCCUCCUGCGUAAAAGCUGAAUAGUGUUCUAUCAGUGGAAGUGGGGUUGUUUGUUUGAUUUUGUUGGGUGUUCGAUAUCUUGAUGAAGUAAGCAGUGCUUAAUUUUGCAGGUUUUUGAGCAGAAAUGCUGGUAUCUGAGCACGGAGUAGAAAUUGCUAUAUUUCUCUGCUCCCUAAGAAACUUUGUACGUCGUUUUCCAAGCAGACCGCGUUUAGUUUACGCGAAAUGAACUUAUGUAUGCUCUAUGAUGAUCCGCCGCAGGCUUAGCCCUUUUCCCCGAUCACCAGUGUUUUGGCAUUCGAUGACGCAUGUCUAGACUUGUUCAGUAGUGUCUUUCUUGCUGCAAUUUUUACCCUUCGCUGAUAUCUUGUUGCUGUCAUGUUGUGCUAGCCGCGUAGCGAUAAGCGGUGAUUCUCCGAUUAUUCCUAGGCGGUACGGCUUAAGCCUUUUCCCUGCUCACUGAAGGAAAUUUGUGUAUCCCUGUCCUGUGCUUUCUUUACGCAAGGGUAAUGCGUCUGUGUAUGUGGCACUAUCAUAUAGCAGACAUGAGUGUCUUUUUCUUGGUUUAUUGGCAUAUGCUUCAGGUUUUUUAAGUCAAGCAAAAGUGCGUGUAAUAUUUCGCUGCUCUUUUUCUUAUUUUCUCUACUUUUAUGUAGAAGAAAGCCUCCUGCGUAAAAGCUGAAUAGUGUUCUACCAGUGGAAGUGGGGUUGUUUGUUUGAUUUUGUUGGGUGUUCGAUAUCUUGACGAAGUAAGCAGUGCUUAAUUUUGCAGGUUUUUGAGCAGAAAUGCUGGUAUCUGAGCACGGAGUAGAAAUUUCUAUAUUUCUCUGCUCCUUAAGAAAAUUUGUACGUCGUUUUCCAAGCAGACCGCGUUUAGUUUACGCGAAGUAGAAAAAUGAAGUUGUGUAUGCUCUAUGAUGAUCCGCCGCGGGCUUAGGCCUUUUCCCCGAUGAGCAGUGUUUUGUAUGCGAUGUCGCAUGUCUGGACUUGUUCAGUGUUGCAAUUUUUACCCUUCGUUAAUAUCUUGUUGUUGUUGUCGUCUUGUGUUAGACGUUGAGCUUCGUAGCGAUGUGCGGUAACGCUACGAUUAUUCCUGAGCGCUCCGUGUGUUUAAUGCGUUGUCCUCUUUGCGUGCAUGCGUGUGCUUUUUUUCUCCUGAUUUGUGACGUCCUCGUGGCAUGUCUGGACUUGUUUAGCAGUGUUGCAGUUCUUCCCGCUGCUAGUAUCUUGUUGGUGUCAUGUUGUGCUAGCCGCGUGGCGAUGUGUGGUGACCUGAGGUCUUAAGCCUUUUCCCUGCUCACCUAAGGAAAUUUGUGUAUCCCUGUCCUGUGCUUUCUUUACGCAAGGGUAAUGCGACUGUGUAUGUGGCAUUAUGCAAGAAUUAUCUGGUGGCAGAAAUAGGCGUAUUUUUCUCAGUGUAUUGGCGUGCGCUACGGUUUCUUGCAGUUACAGCUAUUGGAGCACACAUACGUGUAAUUUUUCGCGGUUCUUUUCUCCUUUCACGGCUUUUACUCAGAAUGUAGAUGAGGGGAAACAGUCAGCAUCCAGGUAGAGCAGGAGAAAGCCGCUCGGCAGAGGAGAGAGUUCAUGAGAAUGGAAUUUGUUUGUUUUUUGUUAUAUGUUGAGUGUUAGUAUUCGCUUUCCUCGAUAUGUUGAGGAAGUCAGCCGUUAUAGGUAUUUGUGCAGAAAUGCUGGUAUCUGAGUGUGUGGAGUAGAAAUUCCUAUAAAGCACCUCUCCUUGUGCAUUCCUGAGCUGCUGUGUGCGCGCGCGUGCUUCUUUUUCCUGGAUUGCGACGUCAUGAUGGCAUGUUGGGGCUUGUUUAGCAGUGUUGCAAUUUUACCCGCCGCUAUUAUCUUGUUAUCUUGUGUUAGCCGCGUAGCGAUAAGCGGUGAUUCUCCGAUUAUUCCUGAGGUCUUAAGCCUUUUCCCUGCUCACCUAAGGAAAUUUGUGUAUCCCUGUCCUGUGCUUUCUUUGCGACAAUGCGUCUGUGUAUGUGGCACUAUCAGAUACCAGACAUGAGUGUCCUUUUCUUGGUUUAUUGGCAUAUGCUUCAGGUUUUUUUAAGUCAAGCACAAGUGCGCGCAAUUUUUCGCUGCUCUCUUCCUCAGAUCACCGAUUUUACGAAGAAGACAGUCGCAUGGUACAGCUGAGAAGAGGGUUUCUCUGAUUGUUUGUUUGAUUUUGUUGGGUGUUCGAUAUGUUGAGGAAGUCAGCUGUUAAAGGUAUCCGUGAAGAAAUGCUUGCACCUGAGCGCAGGAUAGGAAUUCCUGAAGCACGGCACCCUCGGUGUAAAUUAAUUAUGUUGGAUAUGAGUCUGCUUCCCUGCAUGACAAGGCUGAAAUGGGAAGAGAGAAAAAAUUGGAGCGCUUCAUUAGUAGCGAUCCAAGUAAUAGGGCAAUUAUAGUUUCCAUAGAAAGUAGAAUUUUAAUGGGCUCCUAAAAUUAUAGUUUAGUUGUAGUUUUUCUAAACUGCAAUGCAAUAAUCAUUAAUAUAGUAUAGGAAUGCUAUCGUGUUCCCGUAAAGGCGUUCUGUCUUGUGCUUUGGAAUGCGCGAAUAGAACUUUGCUCGCAGCCUUUCCCGCCUUCAUGCUCGCAAUGCGCGAAUGGAACUUUGCCCACCCGGCUUCCGCGCCUUUUUUGCUCGCGGGUGUAGCCUCAGACAACGAAUGUAUGAGCAUAGAAAGGGUCACGUAUUACAUAAGCCUGGAGGUGAUGUUGAGUGGUCUCACUUAUUAUUUUAAAAGAGCAGUGGCAGUUUACUGUAAUUCUAAUGACCAUGAUGAGCCUUUGGGGUGAAAAUCGUUAAUAUGCGGGUGCUUUUUUGUUGAAUUUUAAUGAGAGAAUCAAUGUCAUUAAGAGUAGGACAAAGGAAAUAAUCUUGCGAUUCAAUAAUUAAUAGAAGUCUUUGCCGCUGUCUUCUUCUUCAGACAGGAUGUGAUGACGACAUGCAGUCUGUAGCAAUGCAUUGACCGUCACUGGAAAAAAAGUGUAGCAAUAGAAAAAUGGUUGACCUUGUCUAGAGGAGCAUUAGUGGAAAAAAACUGUGUAGCCCUGAGACAAUAGGAUGCCGUUACGACCAAUGAGAACGGCCUGCAGGGGGCGCAAGGAUUCACUUCUCUCUUGGACACUGACGGGUCUCGACACGCAAAUUCUGCUCCUGGCGUUGGCCGUCAGUGGAAGAGCGUAGCUUAGGUGGGGUUCUGUCUGCCUCUGAUGGGGUGCGGAUGUGUGGUUCGUCACUGGUGAAUGGUGUUCGACGAUGCAGGUGGAUUUUGUGACGAGCGGAUUUACAAUGAGGGAAUGCUGUGAACGGGAAAAAUGAUGGUGAGUGCCUUUUUCACUCUGUUCAAGUGUUUGUUUUCCUCUGUUGCCCAGCAGUCGUACGAAUUUGUCCUGAUAUGCCCCGAUAUGCAUGCUUUCCUUUGUUGACGCUUAGUAUUUUUUUCUUUUUUGACAAGGAACAUUGUCGUCUUGACGAUAGUGCUGCCCCGAGUUCUGCGCGCGUUGAUUUGUUGAGUGCCUAGUCCUCUUAUUAGCCAUUGAUGGAGUUACAUGUUAGGAUGUUUUGUUCUUUUGCAAGUCUCAUUUAGUAAGACUUUGGAAUUCCUACGAUCAGUUUUCAUGCAUGGUGCUCUUCUGCAAUAGUUUCCUAUGCAAUCGUUAUAGAAGAAUAAAGGAAAUAAUCUUGUGAUAGUGAUUCAAUAAAUAAUAGGUCCCCUGUCUAGAGCGCACGCGUCCUUGAGCCACGCAGGUGCAUGAUGACGUCAUACCGUGGCUUCACUGCAGAUUGACCAAAGGAGCAUUAGUGGGAAAAAAACAGUGUAGCCCUGAGACAAUAGGAUGAUGUCUGGACCAAUGAGAACUGCCAGCAGGGGGCGCAGGAAUGCUCUUCUCACUUAGCCUCACGACCAAUGAGAACGGCCAGCAGGGGGCGCAGGAAUGCUCUUCUCUCUUAGCCUCUCGCAGGUGGCGGUAGGAGCGCGCAGAGGGCGCUACGAGCGCGCGCAUGCGUAGCACCCGUAGAGUGGCGCUUACGUCAGUCCACCUCUGGCUCUCGUUGGGAAAAGACGUGCGGUCGUUCGCUCCGUCGUCACUUGAUCCCUGGCUGUCGACGAGAGCAGUCGCAUCGGUCUGCGCUCCUGCUGUGGUGAGGUGAUUUGUUGCGUAACUAAUGCUUUCGUCAACUUUGUUCCCGCUUUGUUUGCGAUUUUCGUGCCAGUGCUGGUUGCUGUUGUCCGGGCGUUCCCGCCAUUUUCUAUCAUCUUCUGCCUUGGGACCGGGAGUAGCGCUGGCGUGAUUCUUAAUAAUUUUGUUGUGAGAUUAGUUGAGAAAGUAACCGCUAGGGGGUGCAGCUGCGGGGCUUUAUACAGGACAAAAAAGCAUUACGAGUCAGUUUCUGCCUGCCUCUCGGAUGGAGCAGUCGCAUGGUUCUGCGCUCCUGUUCUGGUGGGCUCAUUUGUUGUGUAACUAAUUGUUUUUUCUUGUUAGCUAAUGAUGGUUUGCAUACUCUUGCUUUCCCAGCCUCUGUAUUACGAGUGUUUUUCUCCUUGCAUGUCCAGAGCUGUCCUAACUUGCCCAGACAUGCCAUGAUGACGUCACAGCUGACGUCACAGGAUGUCCGGAACUUGUGGUCAUAGCUGGGAUGCUUUGCAACCUGCCUCUGUGCUCCGUCGCCCGGCGAUGGUCAGCGGCCUUUCCGGGCCGCUUCCUUCAAGAUGGCGUCGUUGAUCUUCAACUAAACUCCUUCUCUCCACUCUAUCUCUAUCUAUUUUUUUAUUUUUUAUGACCACGUUUAUCCGGAAACGCACAGGGUGGUCUGGACACUAGUUAGACGCUCCCCAAUUAGUGUGAUGACUCAUUGGAUGAUGCUGAUUAAUGUGGGGGGUCCCAAUUAGCUCUAAUUGCUAAUUAAUGGCGUCCAGAAGCCUUGUAGCGUUUCCGGAUAAGCGUGGUCAGUACUUACUACUGUUCUGCACAGCAAGCAUACACUAACACAAUAAUGGUAACAUACCAACACAGCCUGGGAAGCCGGUCAGUUCGUAGAAGCCACGCUUCACUUGUAGCUAAUCCUCUGGCGUGACCGGGAAUCGCAGGCACUUCUGUGCGAGGUUCUUUGACUCGGUGACCUCGUGAAUAGCCUCCGGUACCGCGUGUUUGCUGCAGGAGAUUGUGUCUUCCCUCGCAAGAGUCCCCAGAAAUGCUCCAGUGGCGGCGAAACCCGUUUACUGUGUCUACCCUGGUGCAGGAACCGGGUUAUCUGAGCAUGCUCGCGAAGCGCACCACGUAGUGCUCUUGUUGCUGCGGCAACGGGGACGCACGACGCGAGAUCGCAAUGGACCUUUUCCAUAUUCGCGUCGCCCCUGGCGGCGGAAUGUCGAACGUCGUGUCUAUCCCUCUAAUAAUGGUGACGCUUUACGAACUGGCACGUACGUUGCGUGGGAAAGUAGCCAAAGAAGAUUGGAAGAAGACUGCGGAAAGAGUGAAAGCGCAUUGUACUCAUUACCAGACCUCAAACGUCCGCGUAAGUAGUAAAGAGGCGGUCAGCAACUACGACAGGGCACUACGGCACCCCUGCCCCUGAGCCCUGCGCGUAUUUUUCCCAGCGCGGCGCGUGUGCGGAGGGUUGUCCACGUGAUUAUCGGCGGGGGAGGGCUGCGUGCGCGCUUACCCUCUCACAUUUUUCGGCCUGGGCAGACUUCUUUGGCCGACCUCAGAUAUUUUUUCGAUACAACAGGUGAGCCGUUUACAUGCAGAGACAUGCAAAGAAGUGUCAUACACAAAAAAGGACAAGUGAAAAUAUAUUUAUUAAUGCCAAUCAAGUUGAGAUAUAUUUAUUAAAGCCAAUAGUGCUGGGAAUUGUGUCAAUCAGGUGGAGGAGAAAAACCCAGCCGAAAAACCUUCACCACCUGUAACAGGGCGGUGCUCGGGUGGAGGGUUGCUGUGGUGGGCGGAGCGUGAACGGAGGGCUGCGUGCGCGCUUACCCUUCAUCCUGGGCUGACUUCUUUCACCAUUUUCCUACUUGGGUCGACUUCCUUCCCGCGACAGGUGGGCGGCGCUCGAGUGGAGGGCUGCUGUUGUGGGCGUCGCGUGGCCGGAGGGCUGCGUGCGCGUUUACCAAUCAGCCUGGGCCGCCGACUUUCGUCAUUUUUCAGCCUGAGUCGACUUGAAUCGUAAUUUUUCCAGCUACAACAGGUGUGCAGUAGGCUGUCUACAUGCAAAAGAUAGCCAUACACAAAAGUACAAGUGAAAAUAUAUUUAUUAAAGUCAUUAUGAA